UACAGAGGUCCCAAGCGUUGUUCGGAUUCACUGGGCGUAAAGGGUGCGUAGGUGGUCAGGUAAGUCUGAUGUGAAAGCUCUGGGCUCAACCCAGAAAUGGCAUUGGAUACUAUCUGGCUAGAGGAAUGGAGGGGGACUGGAAUACUUGGUGUAGCAGUGAAAUGCGUAGAUAUCAAGUGGAACACCAGUGGCGAAGGCGAGUCCCUGGACAUUUCCUGACGCUGAGGCACGAAAGCCAGGGGAGCAAACGGG
rnacentral:rRNA from 1 species